CACCUUGUUGCCUCCAACAUAUACAAAAUCUGACUUAAAUGAAUGGUACAGAACUCUGGAGAAUUUAAACAAAAGUAUAGACACCCAUAAUGCAGAGUGUGUGGAGAAAUUGCGUGUCCAGUAUGAGCUGGUCCAGGGCAAAUGUCAGGAAAAAGUGCAGACCUGCAAGAUGGCCCUGUUGGAUAAGAACAUUUGCACAGUAGAAGAUGUUGAAAUUGUACAUUCCAAC